rnacentral:ncRNA from 1 species
CUUGCCUCCAAAUAUAAGCAAAAUAUUAAAUUCCUUGAUAAUUACUUACCUUUAGAAGGGGCACGAUCUUUAGUGUUAAAUCCGGCAUAUGUUCAUGUUUGAAAACUAUUCUGAUUUACUCACAGCAGAAGACUGAAUUCACAUACCUAACGCUUCUGUGGUCAAGUUUCUCAUGCUUUAUUGAUAAUUUUCCUCUUAGACUUAUAGUGUAGUUUCACUUCCAAAGCAACAACGGGUGGUGGGAAAUCAGGGUUUGAUUUCUGAGAGAGGGAGCCUGAGAAACGGCUGCCACAUCCAAGGAAAGCAGCAAGCGUGAAAAUUACCCAUUUCCAGAAUGGUGAGGUAGUGACGAAAAAUAACAAUAUCGGACUCCUUUGAGACCCUGUAAUUGGAAUGAGUACACUCUAAAUCCUUAAACGAGGAUGAAUUGGAGGGCAAGUCUGGUGCCAGCAGUCGCGGUAAUUCCAGCUCCAAUAG